ensembl:lncRNA
CGAGCCGUUGGGCGCAGGCGUGGGGAAUGUGUCCCCCCCCCCCCGGUAAUGGUGGGACUCUGGCGGGAAUCAAUAAAAGGACACGGCCUAUUUAUUUUAUUCAGCAUUUAUUUCAACACCUUAUUCAUAGAACUAUCCGAUUUUUUCAAACCAGUAUACACUGUUUUUUAUUUAACAAAUAUUAAUAUAUAUAUAUUAAUUUAUAUGUAUAUAUUUUAUCUCUGCAAAUGUAGGCUCAUACUUUGUAUAGUUAUAUUCUUUAUGUUUACUAAACCUAGAAUAUUCUUUUUAGAAAACCACACAUUGAAUGCUUUCCCUGCUGCUGCUGUUCUGCAGAGCGGGGAGAGGCCGGAGGAGGGCGGGGCCGAGGCACUGCCUGGAGGGAGGGUAGGGUUAGGGUUAGGGUUAGGGUUAGGGAGGUUAGACCAGAGGGUUAGGGUUAGGGUUAGGGAGGUUAGACCAGAGGGUUAGGGUUAGGGUUAAGGUUAGGGAGGUUAGACCAGAGGGUUAGGGUUAGGGAGGUUAGGGUUAGGGAGGUUAGACCAGAGGGUUAGGGUUAAGGUUAGGGAGGUUAGGGUUAGGGUUAGGGUUAGGGAGGUUAGACCAGAGAGGUGCACUCUGGGACCCAGCGGCAGUGGAGAAAGCAUUACCAACUAAAGGAACAGAGGAGUCCAGGCUCACAAACAUUCUUCCACACUAUUUGGAAGACAGAGAUUCUUAAAAAUCUUUACAUACUUAAUAAUAUUAAAUUGUGGUUAAAUUAUUCUAUUCUCUUGGUAUAUGUACUUUUGUAUAAUUUGUUUAGACCUAUAAACAAAGAGUCUUCCUCUCGCAGCAGGCUGAGGGUCACUGCUGGGCCCUCUUCCCCUGGCUGCCAUCUUGGCUCUGGAUGCCAUCUUGGCUCUGGCUGCCAUCUUGGCUCUGGGCGCCAUCUUGGCUCUGGACGCAGGCGCCCAGGGCCAAGAGGGAACCAAUAUGGCCGCUCUGUGACCUUGGUCUCUGGGGAGUUUACGGUGGAACAGGGCAGCGCUGGGAUUGUCAAGUGGUGCAAAAGGAAAACAGUAACACUAAGCUUUCCUCAGAAAGGAUGAGGGCGUUACAAAGACACACUCACACACACGCACACACACAUACACACAAUAACUGUAAAUGUCGCACACAGUAAACAGACUCUGAGGCCGAUGGUUCAACUAGUUGGGGUGAUAAGCCCUUAUCGAUGCACCUGCUCGGGUGUGUGUAUGUGAGUGUAUGUGAGUGGGUGUUGGUGUUUGUGUGUCUGUGUGUGUGUGUGUGAUGCUGUUCCACCAGAACGGCAUCUGUUUGGCUCAUGAAUAUGCAAAUAUUGUCCAAGAAAGUUGGAAGAAGCGUCUUCAAUUGUUUCUGUUCCAGUUAAAAAAUGCACCAUUUCCUUUUUCUGAUCGACGUCGUUGAGGUUAAAAGAACUUGAACAGUUAUUAUUCAAUAUUUGUUUAGUCCUUAUAAUGCACAACUUGUAUUUAACAAUUAAGAACAUCACCGCGAGAGCUCUAUCCCUAACCCCAAACCCAGCCCUAAUCAUAACCCUAACCUCAAAACCCUAACUCUAACCCCAGAACCCAGCCCUAACCCUAUCUCCAACCCCAAAACCCUAACUCUAACCCCAAACCCAAACCCAACCCUAACCCUAACCCCAACACCCAACCCUAACCCUAUCUCCAACCCCAAAACCCUAACACUAAACCCCAAACCCAGCCCCAAAUCAUAACCCUAACCCCAAAACCCUAACUCUAACCCCAGAACCCAGCCCUAACCCUAUCUCCAACCCCAAAACCCUAACUCUAACCCAGCCCCAAAUCAUAACCCUAACCCCAAAACCCUAACUCUAACCCCAAACCCAAACACAAUCCUAACCCUAUCUCCAACCCCAAAACCCUAACUCUAACCCCAAACCCAACCCUAAUCAUAACCCUAACCCAAAAACCCAACGCUAACCCCAAAACCCAGCCCUAACCCUAACCUAAAAACCUGCUAACCCUAACCCCAAAAGCCAACUCUAACCCUAACUCUAACCCCAAACCCCAACCCUUACCCUAUCUCAAACUCUAUCCCUAACCCCAACACCCAACCCUAACCCCAAAACCCAACGCUAACCCUAACUCUAACCCCAAAACCCAACUCUAACCCCUACCCCAAACCCUAAACCUAACCCUAACUUCAUCUGUUCACUCACAGGACAUAUUCAGUGCUCUGCUACUACACACAAACUUAUUCCAGAAGAUUAAUUAUUUGGGGAGCAAAGAAAUGACCUCAGUAUAAAAAAAGCCUACAUUGCUAUCUAACCGUACCCACGGAUUACUAAUCCCCGGUUUGUGUUGAGGCCAGGCUGACCUCCGCUCCUGUGGUUCAAUGAUUGGCUGUCCCCGUUUGUCGGAGGCUGUUUAAAAGUGUCGUCCUAAUGUCAGCGUCUGGCUUCCACGGAAACCGUCUGUAGAAGCAAGGCUUAAGGGAUCUCCAUCGCCACGGAGAUCCGCCCCAUCGCCACGGAGAUCCGCCCCAUCGCCACGGAGAUCAGCCCCAUCGCCAACACGCCAUGAGUCUAGCCAACAGAUGGGCUCUGUCACUGAGUGUGUGUGUGUGUGUGUGUGUGUGACAGUGAGUGAGUGUGUGUGUGUGUGGUUGUUCAUCUACGACAGCGCGCUCCAGAAGGUGAACGUGCGUGCAGAGUCCUCCCUCCCCGCGGGGCGCUCAGUGCCUCCAUGAUGUUCACCCCCUGCCCCUCGGGGGGGUCCAGGUCUUCCCCGGGCGCUCCACGCCGGUCCGCCGGCUGGUUCCAACGCUCCAUCUUUCCGUCUCCCUCCCUCUACUCCUGGGCUCCCAGCCUCUCUCUCCCUCUCUCAGUCUGUGUGUCGGGGAGAGGGGGAGACAUGCAAGGGAGAGCAGAGGCCAGGAGAGCUGAGGAGAGAGGGAGGGGCGUCAGAGGAUAAGAACCAGCAGGGAACAGCUGGGGUGCUUUAAGAGGCCGCUGAAGGCAAGGACUACGAUGGAGGAUGGAGUGGAAUGGGUGGAGAUCGGGUGGAACGGGGGUGAGAUGGCGUCACUUAUCAAACUCUAUCUUUGGUGUAUCAUAGAUAUCAUUCCAAGAGAGGACCCUCAUCCAGCACUCCCAACGCCCCCCCCACUUCAGUCUCUGUUGUCCAAGUCGGGCCCCCGGGGCCUGGAGGGUGGGGCCCCCAGUGGUCUUAAUGGUAGGGCCCCCGGGGCCUGGAGGGUGGGGCCCCCAGUGGUCUUAAUGGUCGGGCCCCCGGGGCCUGGAGGGUGGGGCCCCCAGUGGUCUUAAUGGUCGGGCCCCCGGGGCCCUGAGGGUGGGGCCCCCAGUGGUCUUAAUGGUCGGGCCCCCGGGGCCCUGAGGGUGGGGCCCCCAGUGGUCUUAAUGGUCGGGCCCCCGGGGCUUGGAGGGUUGGGCCCCCAGUGGUCUUAAUGGUCGGGCCCCCGGGGCCUGGAGGGUGGGGCCCCCAGUGGUCUUAAUGGUCGGGCCCCCGGGGCCUGGAGGGUGGGGCCCCCGGGCCUGAGGGAGCGGCCCCGGGCCUGAGGGUGGUCUGGGGGUGUGUCCUCCUCCUCACCUGUCCGUCAGACCCUUCAGCGCCCUCUCGAUGUUCAUGCGGUGUCCCACGCGGGUCACCCCCAGGUCCAGGAAGUCGUCCUUGGUGAGCGAGGGCAGGUGCGAGCCGUCGAUCUCGUUGUCCAGGAAGCGCUCGCGGUGCUCGCCCAGGUUGAGGUAGGCCAGCCAGUCCGCCACGUCGUACUUGGUCCAGUAGGGGAGGGGCUUCACGGCGAAGGGCUUGGCCGGCGGGGGGGGUGAGGUGGGGUAGCUGAGGCAGGAGGGGCUGGGGGAGGUGCAGGGGAGGUGGCGCCCGACAGGAACUGCGUGGGGGAGAGGGAGCGAGACACCAGCAGAGCGCUGGGGACCCCC